rnacentral:lncRNA from 1 species
AGCAGAUGAAUUGUUCUGAGUUUGGACAGUGGUUUAAGCUUAUUUUGGUAUAUUUUUACAAUAACACAAUCUGCUAAGAUUUUAGUGAAUUUGAGCAAUUUUACGCGCUUGAGGUAGUGUUUCAUGUGUUUAUAGGGCUAAUGAGUAAAGAGGAGUUGGAUCAGAGAAGAAACCGGACGACAAUGCAUGAGCAUGAGAAAAAAGAAGAGAAAAAUACACAUUUCCUGCCCAUACGCGUUUGAGGCCUCUCAUACGCGUAUGGCCACUCAUCAGCACCUCCCAACAUACAUGUAAC